AAAAAUAAAUUCAAAAUGGAUAAAGGACUUAAAAAUAAGAGAGGAAACCAUAAAAAUAUUAGAAGAAUCCAUAGGCGGCAAAAUAGCAAACAUAUGUCACAGCAAUUAAAACAACUUCUAG